AUGACAGGCCAGGUUGAUCCUGGGGUGCUGCGGGACCUCUGCACGGGGAGCCUGGCCCUGAAGCCAGAAGUUUCCAGGAGUGCGCCUGGGGCGCCUGGAGCCUACCGUGCAUCAGGGGAGGUGUGGCCCUGCCCCGACCCUCAGGAAGAUGCUUCAGGGUCCACAGGGCCUCUGCAGCCACGAGGGUCCAACUGCUAUCCUGGGCGCCUCAACAGUCCCAGAUGUAGUCUAGCAGGGACCAAGACGGCAGGGGCAGAACUUGGUGCCGGGGCCUCCGCACCCGGGUGGCAAAGCCCCUGCUCCCCGAGCCUGUGGGUCCCUGAGUCGGCCCGGAAGGCGGCGUGGGCUCUAGGGAACGGAUGCGCAGGCCUGUUUCCCGAUGCCCGCGGGCCCGAGCCCAGCGCCCACCCCGGCGGGUCACAGCUCCGCUCCCGCCCCGGCCCGCCCGCCAACGUGGAGCGCUGGUGCCAUCUACCGAGGGCCACGGCGUGCGGGCGGCGCCGCUGCCACCUAGCCGUGCCGGGCAGGGGAUGGGAACGGCAGCCACGCUCGGACCGGGGACCCAGGGCGGCGCGAGAGGAACCGAGGCUGCAGCGCGCCCCGAACCCGCGCCCUGUCGGUGAGCCCAGAAGGACGCGGGGCGGCAAGACGCGCGAGGGGCCAAGCUCCGGGCAGGGUCGCGCCGCCGGCCAUUCCGGCCCCGCAGUGGCGCUCCACGAGCCUCGGGCGAGCGGCGGCGGUGGAACGUGCUGGAAGCCGGGUCGGGCGCCGGGACCGCCGCGGGCCGGGCAGAGCUCGGAGGACGGCGCCCGGGGACAAUUACCUUCUUUGAGGAAUUGCGCGUGGAUCACCAGGACGAGGAAGCAGCAGAGCGCGGCCCCUGCCAGUGCCCAGAGCGCCUUCAGGAGCUGCAUCGCGGAGUGCCCGCUCGGCCGACGCCCCCGAAGUCGCGCAGCGAAGGUCCAGGCGCCGCAUCAGCGCCCCGCUGGGUGCAGCCGCCGCGGCCGCCCGCUCGCGCCCUCCAUCCGCCGCCAACGCCGCGCUCCGCCGCGACUGGAGGCGCCACUCCGGGAGGCGAUGUGUGUCUUUUUGGGCAGGGGGGAGGGGAGCGGGCGGGGGAGGGGGCGCCGGGGAGGGGGCGGGAGGGCGGGGGCGGGGAGGUUAGCAGAAAGUCUCGGGCCGCGGCGGCUGCCGCUCCGGCCACUCGGCCACCAUCCCGGGCUGCGGGGCGCCGGGGACCCGGGCGCGGGGGGGCGGCCGCCGCGGCCCCGGCUGCCCUCUCCGCUCCGCCGGGGCCACUAG
rnacentral:lncRNA from 13 species